AACGAACGCUGGCGGCAUGCCUAACACAUGCAAGUCGAACGAAGGCUUCGGCCUUAGUGGCGCACGGGUGCGUAACGCGUGGGAAUCUGCCCUUUGCUUCGGAAUAACAGUUAGAAAUGACUGCUAAUACCGGAUGAUGUCGCAAGACCAAAGAUUUAUCGGCAAAGGAUGAGCCCGCGUAGGAUUAGCUAGUGGGUGGGGUAAAGGCCUACCAAGGCGACGAUCCUUAGCUGGUCUGAGAGGAUGAUCAGCCACACUGGGACUGAGACACGGCCCAGACUCCUACGGGAGGCAGCAGUGGGGAAUAUUGGACAAUGGGCGAAAGCCUGAUCCAGCAAUGCCGCGUGAGUGAUGAAGGCCUUAGGGUUGUAAAGCUCUUUUACCCGGGAUGAUAAUGACAGUACCGGGAGAAUAAGCUCCGGCUAACUCCGUG
rnacentral:rRNA from 1 species